AGAGUUUGAUCCUGGCUCAGGAUGAACGCUGGCGGCGUGCUUAAUACAUGCAAGUCGAACGGAAGAUGUAGCAAUAUAUCUUUAGUGGCGAACGGGUGAGUAACGCGUUGGUGACCUGCCCCAAAGAGAGGGAUAACAGUUCGAAAGGACUGCUAAUACCGCAUGAGUUCACAGAGAUUGGAAGGCUGUGAAGAAAGGCGAAAGCCGCUUUGGGAGGGGCCUGCGUCCCAUCAGCUAGUUGGUAGGGUAACGGCCUACCAAGGCGAUGACGGGUAGGGGACCUGAGAGGGUGGCCCCCCACAAUGGAACUGAAACACGGUCCAUACACCUACGGGUGGCAGCAGUAGGGAAUAUUGGUUAAUGGGCGAAAGCCUGAACCAGCAACGCCGCGUGUGCGAUGAAGGCCUUCGGGUUGUAAAGCACUUUUAGUAGGGACGAGGAAGGACGGUACCUACAGAAUAAGCCUCGGCUAACUACGUGCCAGCAGCCGCGGUAACACGUAGGAGGCAAGCGUUAUUCGGAUUUACUGGGCGUAAAGCGCGUGUAGGCGGUUCGGAGAGUUGGAUGUGAAAGCUCCUGGCUUAACUGGGAGAGGCCGUUCAAUACUUCCGGACUUGAGGAUGGUAGAGGAAGAUGGAAUUCCGAGUGUAGUGGUGAAAUGCGCAGAUAUUCGGAGGAACACCAGUGGCGAAAGCGAUCUUCUAGACCAUAACUGACGCUCAGACGCGAAAGCUAGGGUAGCAAACGGGAUUAGAGACCCCGGUAGUCCUAGCUGUAAACGACGUAGACUAUGCGUUGGUGGGUUUCAAUACUUCAGUGCCGGAACAAACGCCAAAAGAUUUACCGGCCUGGGGACCUACCGGCCGCGAGUUAAAAACGCCAAAGGAAUUGGCGGUGGGCC
rnacentral:rRNA from 1 species